rnacentral:rRNA from 1 species
GCUUAACACAUGCAAGUCGAGCGGUAAGGCCCUUCGGGGUACACGAGCGGCGAACGGGUGAGUAACACGUGGGUGAUCUGCCUCGUACUCUGGGAUAAGCCUGGGAAACUGGGUCUAAUACCGGAUAUGACCACGAAUCGCAUGGUUUGUGGUGGAAAGAUUUAUCGGUGCGAGAUGGGCCCGCGGCCUAUCAGCUUGUUGGUGGGGUAAUGGCCUACCAAGGCGACGACGGGUAGCCGGCCUGAGAGGGCGACCGGCCACACUGGGACUGAGACACGGCCCAGACUCCUACGGGAGGCAGCAGUGGGGAAUAUUGCACAAUGGGCGGAAGCCUGAUGCAGCGACGCCGCGUGAGGGAUGACGGCCUUCGGGUUGUAAACCUCUUUCGACAGGGACGAAGCGCAAGUGACGGUACCUGUAGAAGAAGCACCGGCCAACUACGUGCCAGCAGCCGCGGUAAUACGUAGGGUGCGAGCGUUGUCCGGAAUUACUGGGCGUAAAGAGCUUGUAGGCGGUUCGUCGCGUCGAUCGUGAAAACGUGCAGCUCAACUGCACGCUUGCGGUCGAUACGGGCGGACUAGAGUACUGCAGGGGAGACUGGAAUUC